UCAGUUGGUAGAGCAUCGGACUGAAAAUCCGUGAGUCGGUGGUUCGAGUCCACUCAUCACCACCA
rnacentral:tRNA from 1 species